rnacentral:rRNA from 1 species
UGGCGAACGGGUGAGUAACACGUGGGUAACCUGCCCAUCAGAAGGGGAUAACACUUGGAAACAGGUGCUAAUACCGUAUAACACUAUUUUCCGCAUGGAAAAAAGUUGAAAGGCGCUUUUGCGUCACUGAUGGAUGGACCCGCGGUGCAUUAGCUAGUUGGUGAGGUAACGGCUCACCAAGGCAACGAUGCAUAGCCGACCUGAGAGGGUGAUCGGCCACACUGGGACUGAGACACGGCCCAGACUCCUACGGGAGGCAGCAGUAGGGAAUCUUCGGCAAUGGACGAAAGUCUGACCGAGCAACGCCGCGUGAGUGAAGAAGGUUUUCGGAUCGUAAAACUCUGUUGUUAGAGAAGAACAAGGAUGAGAGUAAAAUGUUCAUCCCUUGACGUAUCUACCAG